rnacentral:tRNA from 1 species
GCUCCCGUAGCUCAGUAGGAUAGAGCGGUCCCCUCCUAAGGGACAGGCCACUGGUUCGAAUCCAGUCGGGAGCGCCA